UACGUAGGUGACCAGCGUUGUCCGGAUUUACUGGGCGUAAAGAGCGCGCAGGCGGUCGUUCAAGUCGAGUGUGAAAGCCCCCGGCUCAACUGGGGAGGGUCACUCGAUACUGAUCGACUGGAAGGCAGGAGAGGGAAGCGGAAUUCCCGGUGUAGUGGUGAAAUGCGUAGAUAUCGGGAGGAACACCGAUGGCGAAGGCAGGUCUCUGGGCAUUAACUGACGCUGAGGAGCGAAAGCAUGGGGAGCGAACAGG
rnacentral:rRNA from 1 species